CCCGCCCCCUCAGGCCCCGCCCCCGCCCGCGGCCACAGGUUCCCACGAGCCCUGCCGAGGUUUUGAGCCCGGAGGCGGGAGUGUCGGGAUGCUCUACACUCCGGACUUUUUGAAGCUACCUUCUCAACAGUGACAGUCAUGAAAAUGUGACCAUCACUGCAUUAGCAGAAAACUGAGAAAACCCUGCUGAACAAUCCUGAAAAAAAAAUCCCUAUUAUGGUGGAGUGUACAUUCUAGGGAAAGUCUAGAAUCUCGUCUACAACUAGCCUUUGGAGUUCCUGAGAUUCCUUCUUAAAAUGGCACGUGCCAAGACAGUGAAGAAGAGGCCCCUUGAUAGCCCUGAGGAGGUACACCUGGGAGAAGGAUGCUGGUGAAGAACAGGAGUUUUGGCAGGAGCUACCAUGCAAGUGGGAGCAAGUUAUGGAAAGGGCCACACCUGCUGAGAAAAGAAGCAACUCCUUCAGCCAGAAACAAAGCAAGCUUAUCAUAAAAGACAACACCUGAAAAAAUCUAGUUGCGAUAACUGUGAUGCACACUGCAGACACCUACCAGCCUAACUUCUCAUAUCUCCAUGUGAGGGCCGCUUUUAGAGCAACUUUUUAAAAACAUGCUCUGACACUUCUGAGUCAUCAGAAAAGACAGUAUUGGAGUUAACCUGAAAGAGAAGGAUCCGUGCAACAUUUAGGACAGGAUGGAAAUAUUCUUGUCCUCAUACUUUUAAGUGAGAACCCGAGACUUUCUCUCCUCAGCAAUUCUGAAGGGCUGUUGGCACUCAGGAAGUGGAAGAUGACCUAGUUUUGAGGAUGACAUAUAUAAUGUGACAUGUUGCUCUUGGGAAGAGAAAUAUAUAAUUUAAAAAACCCAACCAUUCAACAUUAUUAGGAAUUUCCACUUUAAUGCCUUGAGACCUAACAGACACACUUAUCUGAAGUUCUCUGUUAGAAGGCUUCACUUGACCUAAAUCCAUCAUUUAUUCAACAUUUAUGGAACAUCUACCAAAGAGUAGCCACUGUUCUAGGCACCAGGGAUCCUGCAGUGGACCCUAUUUUCACAUAGUUCAUAUUCUACUGGGGAGAGAUAGGCAACAAAGAAAAAAGUAGACGAUAUGUCAAAGGAAAAAUGAAACAAGCUAAAAGCGUGGGGAAUAAGGAUUCUGUUUUAUGAGGGUCAUAAUCAUGGGGAUAGUGAACUUAGUUGGUGAUAUAUGAGCUGAUGCCUGAAUGGAGAGUUAGUAAUGUGACAAUGUGGAGGAAGAAUGGAUCCUAGAUAGAAGGUAUAGCAAGUACAAAGUUCCUACAGUAGAA
rnacentral:lncRNA from 12 species